CUAAAGUAUAAUAUUGAAGAUAUUAGGAAAGUAGAUUUACUUUAAAAUAU
rnacentral:tRNA from 2 species